rnacentral:rRNA from 1 species
UGGGGAAUCUUGCGCAAUGGGCGAAAGCCUGACGCAGCCAUGCCGCGUGAAUGAUGAAGGUCUUAGGAUUGUAAAAUUCUUUCACCGGGGACGAUAAUGACGGUACCCGGAGAAGAAGCCCCGGCUAACUUCGUGCCAGCAGCCGCGGUAAUACGAAGGGGGCUAGCGUUGCUCGGAAUUACUGGGCGUAAAGGGAGCGUAGGCGGACAGUUAAGUCAGAGGUGAAAGCCCAGGGCUCAACCUUGGAAUUGCCUUUGAUACUGGCUGUCUUGAGUAUGGGAGAGGUAAGCGGAACUCCGAGUGUAGAGGUGAAAUUCGUAGAUAUUCGGAAGAACACCAGUGGCGAAGGCGGCUUACUGGCCCAUUACUGACGCUGAGGCUCGAAAGCGUGGGGAGCAAACA